rnacentral:misc_RNA from 1 species
UUUCCGUAGGUGAACCUGCGGAAGGAUCAUUAUUGGAUUUUGAAACUUCAGGCUGCUGCUGGCUCUCCUCGGAGGGCAUGUGCACGCUUGUUGUCCAUUAUUUCUCCCACUGUGCACAAUUUGUAGACCUUUCAGUAGGCCUAUGUUGUUUUUCACAAUCUCUGAAUGUAAUAGAAUGGUUUUGAAUCUUGGGAAAUACAAUACAACUUUCAGCAACGGAUCUCUUGGCUCUC